UUGUGAAUGUGUGCACCUUCAGAAUGGGACUAAUUCGAGUCCUUUGUUCCGUAGCUGAGGCUCACUGCCCCGAGGUGGGCAGUGAGCUCGUGGCCC
rfam:Pteropus vampyrus cont1.223356, whole genome shotgun sequence.